rnacentral:rRNA from 1 species
GACGGGACCGCACAAGCGGUGGAUGAUGUGGAUUAAUUCGAUGCAACGCGAAAACCUUACCUACCCUUGACAUGUCCGGAAUCCCGAAGAGAUUUGGGAGUGCUCGCAAGAGAGCCGGAACACAGGUGCUGCAUGGCUGUCGUCAGCUCGUGUCGUGAGAUGUUGGGUUAAGUCCCGCAACGAGCGCAACCCUUAUCAUUAGUUGCUACGCAAGGGCACUCUAAUGAGACUGCCGGUGACAAACCGGAGGAAGGUGGGGAUGACGUCAAGUCCUCAUGGCCCUUAUGGGUAGGGCUUCACACGUCAUACAAUGGUCGGUACAGAGGGUUGCCAAGCCGCGAGGUGGAGCCAAUCCCAGAAAGCCGAUCGUAGUCCGGAUUGUUCUCUGCAACUCGAGAGCAUGAAGUCGGAAUCGCUAGUAAUCGCGGAUCAGCAUGUCGCGGUGAAUACGUUCCCGGGUCUU